CUAGUAAUCGCGGAUCAGCAUGCCGCGGUGAAUACGUUCCCGGGCCUUGUACACACCGCCCGUCACACCAUGAGAGUCGGGAACACCCGAAGUCCGUAGUCUUACCGCAAGGAGGGCGCGGCCGAAGGUGGGCUUGAUAAUUGGGGUGAAGUCGUAACAAGGUACC
rnacentral:rRNA from 1 species